GAUGAACGCUGGCGGCGUGCUUAACACAUGCAAGUCGAACGAAACGUUCAGGCCUGAUUGCUUCGGUUGGGAGGUCUUUAUGUCUGUGUCGCGUACGUGUGAUGCACUUGUGUGUAACCUGCCUUCUAGUGGGUGAUAGCAACUCGAAAUAGGUGGUAAUACCGCAUAGGGGCACAAUGUUACAUGACGUGGUGUGAAAAACUCCGGUGGUAUAAGAUGGUCCCGCGUCUGAUUAGCUAGUUGGUGAGAUAAAAGCCCACCAAGGCGAGGAUAGGUAGCCGACGUGAGAGGGUGACCGGCCACAUUGGGAGUGAGACACGGCCCAGACUCGUACGGGAGGCAGCAGUGGGGAAUAUUGCACAAUGGAGGAAACUCUGAUGAAGCGACGGCGCGUGAGUGAAGAAGUAAUGCGGUAUGUAAAGUUCUAUCAGCAGGGAAGAUAGUGACGGUACCUGACUAAGAAGCCCCGGCUAAAUACGUG
rnacentral:rRNA from 1 species